CUUUUAUGGAGAGUUUGAUCCUGGCUCAGGAUGAACGCUGGCGGCGUGCCUAAUACAUGCAAGUCGAGCGAACA
rnacentral:rRNA from 1 species